UUAGAUGUUCCUUUGAGUGCCAGAAACAUAUUGGAAGAUCCUGAACUUAAGAAUGCUGUCAAAUCAUUCAGCAACUGGCCCACGUUUCCACAGAUAUUCAUCAAGGGGGAGUUUGUUGGAGGAUCAGACAUCAUUCUCAACAUGCACCAGACUGGCGAGUUGAAGGAAAUGCUUAAAGAUAUUGCAGCCAACCAGGAGAAUUAAGAGUAAG